rnacentral:rRNA from 1 species
GGAAAGGCCAUCGCUCAACGAAUAAAAGGUACUCCGGGGAUAACAGGCUAAUACCGCCCAAGAGUUCAUAUCGACGGCGGUGUUUGGCACCUCGAUGUCGGCUCAUCACAUCCUGGGGCUGAAGUAGAUAUCCGAAUGGGGAAACCCGAUACUAUUUAUGUAUCAUCGUUAAAUGAAUUCAUAAUUUAACGAAGCUAACCAAGGGAACUGAAACAUCUAAGUACCUUGAGGAAAAGAAAUCAAUUGAGAUUCCCAUAGUAGUGGCGAGCGAAAAGGGAAAAGCCCAAAGCUAUAAUCAAUCUAUAAAUAAAUAAAACGGUAUGGAAAGACCGGCUAAAAAG